UGCUCUUCUUCUUCUCUCAUCAAUAGCUCAUCUUCCUCUUCCUCUCUCCUUAUACGUUCGUACGUGAAUCGUACUCGAUUCAGCUAGGCGUUGCAAUCUCGUAUUCCUCUUAUCCUUGCUCAAAAUCAAGCGUCCCUCAUCAAUUAUUCCAUGGAAUUAGUACUAUUUCCAGCUCAUGCCUUAUCCUCUGGAAUUUUCAAAUUACUCAAAGUCCCACAUCUACUCUAGGCUGUGAUUUUAGAUUUUCUCAACCCCUAUAAAUACCCUUCUCACUCAUUGUUCAAAAGGAGGAUUUUCGGAGACCAAAGAGUACCCAUAAAGUUUUCUGGGAAUUCUUGUUUCCAUAAUUUAAAAUUUUUAAAACGUUUUAGUGGCUUUUCAAGUUGAAGAGGUGGAAUCGUCUCAGUCAAAUUUGUUGUUCAAUUCGCUGCCCAGAACCAGUCCAAUUGGACUCCCCUGUCUAGCAUAUCCCUCUUCUUGAGUCAACCUCUUUCGGAGUCAUGAAAGGGAAGUCAUGUUAUUGGGUUAAUAUCCCAAGAAGGUAGCAGCAACAGGGGCUAAAAAGAGAUGGAAUGAUUAAAAAAAAUUGGGUUAAACCCCCAACUAGAAGCAGUUGCAAUAGCCUUGUCAAGACUGAAAACUGAUGAUUUUGGACUCUCAAAAGUCCACUAAAAGCAGCAUAUUUGCAGCAGCCUCUAAGGGUUAGAAGAGUAGCGUUUCUUAGACUUACAAAGCCAGAGAAUAGAACAAAAGGAACAUUAAACAUUUUGGAUUGAAGGGCCUAAAAUCAAAGCGGCAAAAGGCAUUAUUUUCAGCCUUGAAGUGACCAUUUAUGGGCUGAAAUUUCUUAGUUAUCUUAGUUAUUGUUUAUAUUUAUUUACUUUUUUUAUUUUUGUGGCUGUUGAUUAUUCUUUUAAUUAACUUAUAUGAAUCCUUUGGAGGUUUUCGAACGACUCUUCUAUUUCGUUAUUUGUUUACUUUAAGUUCACAAAACUUAUUUUUAAGUUUAGGUAAUUUAAGCUUAUUAGAAUAACUUGAGAA